rnacentral:tRNA from 1 species
GCCGGGGUGCCCGAGCGGCCAAGGGGGCCGGCUGCAGACCGGCUUUGUGUGGGUUCAACUCCCACCCCCGGCU